AUUCCCAGUUAAAAGCUAGAAGCCAGAAGCAAGCAGACCAACCUGAGCAGCUUCCACGUCUCCCAUCCAGCGCAGGAUCGACUUCGUGAGAAUCUAGCAGACGUCAAGAUACAGUUGUUUGGGAUAAAACAGAUGGACAGAUCUUUGCACACAAUUCUUACCACAAGGCCAAUCCUGGAAGCACCUCCUAUUGAAAAUCCUAAUCGUGCUUCAGUUAUCCACAGAGAGCUCACUACAGUGCAGAAAUGUGCAAUCUCUCCCUCAAAUCCUGAGACUUCUUCAAGUAGACUGGCGAAGUACUUGGCUCAGAUGCAGCAGGAGUUAGAAAAAAAUAUGAUUGGAAGACCCGAACAAG